UACAAAACAGCUUUCCGGUGUCCUGGUUUCCUUGGUUUAUUCGAGUGGACAGUGAUGACAUUCGGAUUGAAAAAUGCUGGGGCCACAUAUCAAAGGGCUAUGAAUUUGAUUUUUCAUGAUUUACUCGGUGUCAUACUAGAAGUUUAUAUUGAUGAUAUUGUUGUCAAAUCGGAUGCUUUUGAAUCCCACUUGGCCGAUUUGCGUUUAGCUUUUGAAAGGAUGAAAAAAUAUGGACUGAAGAUGAAUCCUUUGAAGUGUGCAUUCGGCGUGUCAGCUGGCAAAUUUUUGGGUUUCAUUAUUCAUGAAGAUGGCAUCGAAAUCGAUCCCAAAAAGAUAGAGGCCAUACAGAAAGUGGAGGCUCCGACAUGCAAGAAAGAUAUGCAAAAGUUCCUUGGCAAAGUCAAUUAUUUGAGAAGGUUCAUAGCUAAUCUGUCAGGGAAAGUUGAUGCAUUUACUCCUAUCCUUCGGUUAAAGAAUGAUGUUGAUUUCACUUGGGGGGCAAAACAGCAAGAAGCCUUUGAUAUGAUCAAGAAUUAUUUGUGCACUCCUCCGGUG
rnacentral:rRNA from 1 species